rnacentral:rRNA from 1 species
ACGAACGCUGGCGGCGUGCUUAACACAUGCAAGUCGAACGGUGAAGGGACUGGUUUUGCUGGUCCUGGAUGAGUGGCGAACGGGUGAGUAACACGUGAGUAACCUGCCCCCUUCUUCUGGAUAACCGCAUGAAAGUGUGGCUAAUACGGGAUAUUCUGGGUCUGUCGCAUGGUGGGCCUGGGAAAGAUUGCGCCUUUUUUGGUGUUUUUGGUGGGGGAUGGGCUCGCGGCCUAUCAGCUUGUUGGUGGGGUGAUGGCCUACCAAGGCGGUGACGGGUAGCCGGCCUGAGAGGGUGGACGGUCACACUGGGACUGAGACACGGCCCAGACUCCUACGGGAGGCAGCAGUGGGGAAUAUUGCACAAUGGGCGCAAGCCUGAUGCAGCGACGCCGCGUGAGGGAUGGAGGCCUUCGGGUUGUGAACUUCUUUCGCCAGUGAAGCAGGCCUGCCUCUUUUUGUGGGUGGGUUGACGGUAGCUGGAUAAGAAGCGCCGGCUAACUACGUG